ACGGGAGGCAGCAGUGAGGAAUAUUGGGCAAUGGGCAUAAGCCUGACCCAGCGACGCCGCGUGAGGGAAGAAGGUCUUCGGAUUGUAAACCUUAGUUAUCGGGGAAGAAGGAAGUGACGGUACCCGAAGAGAAAGCCACGGCUAACUACGUGCCAGCAGCCGCGGUAAUACGUAGGUGGCAAGCGUUGUCCGGAUUUAUUGGGUGUAAAGGGUGUGUAGGCGGGACGGCAAGUCAGAUGUGAAAACUAUGGGCUUAACCCAUAGCCUGCAUUUGAAACUGUUGUUCUUGAGAGUCGGAGAGGUAAAUGGAAUUCCUGGUGUAGCGGUGAAAUGCGUAGAUAUCAGGAGGAACACCGGUGGCGAAGGCGAUUUACUGGACGACAACUGACGCUGAGACACGAAAGCGUGGGGAGCAAACAGGAUUAGAUACCCUGGUA
rnacentral:rRNA from 1 species